UGAGGAAUAAGCUUUGUAGGAAAUGACAAAGUGAUGACGUUAAUUUAUGAAUAAGCCCCGGCUAAUUACGUGCCAGCAGCCGCGGUAAUACGUAAGGGGCGAGCGUUGUUCGGGAUUAUUGGGCGUAAAGGGUGAGUAGGCGGAUAUAUAAGUCUAUGCAUAAAAUACCACAGCUCAACUGUGGAACUAUGUUGGAAACUAUAUGUCUAGAGUCUGAUAGAGGAAGUUAGAAUUCCUGGUGUAAGGGUGGAAUCUGUUGAUAUCAGGAAGAAUACCGGAGGCGAAGGCGAACUUCUGGGUCAAGACUGACGCUGAGUCACGAAAGCA
rnacentral:rRNA from 1 species